ACUCGAGUGGCGAACGGGUGAGUAACACGUGGGUGAUCUGCCCUGCACUUCGGGAUAAGCCUGGGAAACUGGGUCUAAUACCGGAUAGGAGCCAUUUUUAGUGUGAUGGUUGGAAAGUUUUUCGGUGUAGGAUGAGCUCGCGGCCUAUCAGCUUGUUGGUGGGGUAAUGGCCUACCAAGGCGGCGACGGGUAGCCGGCCUGAGAGGGUGGACGGCCACAUUGGGGCUGAGAUACGGCCCAG
rnacentral:rRNA from 1 species